GGAAGCGUGGCCGAGCGGUUGAAGGCACCAGUCUUGAAAACUGGCGACGGGGGAACCUGUUCGUGAGUUCGAAUCUCACCGCUUCCGCCA
rnacentral:tRNA from 3 species